UCCGGUUUGUCACCGGCAGUCUCUCCAGAGUGCCCACCAUAACGUGAUGGCAACAGGAAACAAGGGUUGCGCUCGUUGCGGGACUUAACCCAACAUCUCACGACACGAGCUGACGACAGCCAUGCAGCACCUAUACAGAUGUCCUUGCGGAAGUCGACUUUCGCCGAUGGUCAUCUGCAUUUCGAGCCCAGGUAAGGUUCUUCGCGUUGCGUCGAAUUGAACCACAUGCUCCACCGCUUGUGCGGGCCCCCGUCAAUUCCUUUGAGUUUCAGCCUUGCGACUGUACUCCCCAGGCGGCAUAUUUAACGCGUUAGCUCCGGCACGGAACCCGUCGAUAGAGCCCCACACCUAGUGCCCAACGUUUACGGCGUGGACUAC
rnacentral:misc_RNA from 1 species